AAAAGCUUGGCUUACACAUUGGCUUUUUUUUUUCUUUUUUUUUUGGCCUACAAGAAUAUUUUGGUAAUUAUCCACACCAUGUUUGUCCAACUUCAAAUUAAACACACUCAAUUUACUAAUCUCAAUCCAAAAUCACUUGAUAAAAUACCCAUAAUCAUUCUCCACUAUAAUAUUAUUUUUCGCUAAAAAUGAAAAUCCACAAAUUUUUCGGGCUAUUACAUGUUCUUGACCCUAACAAGGGGAGAUUUCAGGGUCAAACUGAUAUCAAGUACAGGGAUCCCCAAACUUAAAAAAUCCCUGAAGAGUAUGGGGAGGGGAUGGUAUUGGUGUCCCCAUCCUCGAACCUGACCCGAAAAUAUAUAUAUAUAUGUUUAUAUUUAAAUAAAUAAAUAUAUAAUUAUAAUAUUUAUGUUUAACCC
rnacentral:lncRNA from 1 species